rnacentral:lncRNA from 1 species
AGUUUCCGUUGAGAUUUUACGACGAAAACAAGUAGGACUCUUCUUGGCUUGCUUCCACUCGCUACGUAGCGACCUGUCAGACUGUCAGUCGCUACGUAGCGACCUGUAAGGCCUCAGAAAGGUCCUCCUUUGGGUUCUCUUUUGAAUCCUCGUCGAAAUGCUUUUCGUUUUGUCUCAAACGGAGUUUCCGUUGAGAUUUUACGACGAAAACAAGUAGGACUCUUCUCGGCUUGCUUCCACUCGCUACGUAGCGACCUGUCAGACUGUCAGCCGCUACGUAGCGACCUGUAAGGCCUCAGAAAGGUCCUCCUUUGGGUUCUCUUUUGAAUCCUCGUCGAAGCACUUUUCGUUUCGUCUCAAUCGGAGUUUCCGUUGAGAUUUUACGACAAAAACAAGUAGGACUCUUCUCGGCUUGCUUCCACUCGCUACGUAGCGACCUGUCAGACUGUCAGUCGCUACGUAGCGACCUGUAAGGCCUCAGAAAGGUCCUCCUUUGGGCUCUCUUUUGAAUCCUCGUCGAAACACUUUUUGUUUCGUCUCAAUCGGAGUUUCCGUUGAGAUUUUACGACGAAAACAAGUAGGACUCUUCUUGGCUUGCUUCCACUCGCUACUUAGCGACCUGUCAUACUGUCAGUCGCUACGUAGCGACCUGUAAGGCCUCAGAAAGGUCCUCCUUUGGGUUCUCUUUUGAAUCCUCGUCGAAACGCUUUUUGUUUCGUCUCAAUCGGAGUUUCCGUUGAGAUUUUACCACGAAAACAAGUAGGACGCUUCUCGGCUUGCUUCCACUCGCUACGUAGCGACCUGUCAGACUGUCAGUCGCUACGUAGCGACCUGUAAGGCCUCAGAAAGAUCCUCCUUUGGGUUGUCUUUUGAAUCCUCAUCGAAACGCUUUUCGUUUCGUCUCAAUCGGAGUUUCCGUCGAGAUUUUACGACGAAAACAAGUAGGACUCUUCUCGGCUUGCUUCCACUCGCUACGUAGCGACCUGUCAGACUGUCAGUCGCUACGUAGCGACCUGUAAGGCCUCAGAAAGGUCCUCCUUUGGGUUCUAUUUUGAAUCCUCGUCGAAACGCUUUUCGUUUCGUCUCAAUCGGAGUUUCCGUUGAGAUUUUACGACGAAAACAAGUAGGACUCUUCUCGGCUUGCUUCCACUCGCUACGUUGCGACCUGUCAGACUGUCAGUCGCUACGUAGCGACCUGUAAGGCCUCAGAAAGGUCCUCCUUUGGGUUCUCUUUUGAAUCCUCGUCGAAACGCUUUUUGUUUCGUCUCAAUCGGAGUUUCCGUUGAGAUUUUACGACGAAAACAAGUAGGACGCUUCUCGGCUUGCUUCCACUCGCUACGUAGCGACCUGUCAGACUGUCAGUCGCUACGUAGCAACCUGUAAGCCUCAGAAAGGUCCUCCUUUGGGUUGUCUUUUGAAUCCUCAUCGAAACGCUUUUCGUUUCGUCUCAAUCGUAGUUUCCGUCGAGAAUUUACGACGAAAACAAGUUGGACUCGUCUUGGCUCCCUUCCACUCGCUAUAGCGACCGAGAUGACAUCCUCACUCGCUAUAGCGACCUGUCAGGCCUCAAAGGGUCCUCCUUUGCGUUCUCCUUUGAAUCCUCAUCGAAACGCUUUUCGUUUCGUCUCAAUCGGAGUUUCCGUUGGGAUUGUACGACAAAAACAAGUAAAACUCAUCUUAAACUCCUUGGCUUGUUCCUGCUCGCCCUACCUCCAUAUUUGCGUUCACUUUCGAAUCUCGAUCGAAACGUCUCUUGUUUCGCCGCGAUUGAAGUUACCAUUGAGACUUUAUGAUCUAAAAAAAACCCGCAAAGACUUGUUUUCUCGCAUGGAUUCAGAUAAAUCGUAUAAAACAGCAACGGUUAACUUAACACCUUAGCCGCCUUAACUAUACGAUUACGUUGAACCUUUUUACAAAAAUCGACGUCUUAUCUAAGGAGAAGAUAACAGUCAAGUUCGGAAGAUAAAUGUCAAGUUUCAAAGGAUAAACACCAAUAUCGGAAAUGGCGAACAUACACGAGAAUAGGAAACGGAAAUGAGCACGCAAAACUGAGAAGGGACAAAACUGCAUCUUCGAGAGAACUCAGAUCUUGCAAACCGAUCUAAACUCUCCGAAAGUCGAGAAACGAUCGCCACGCAUAUCAAGCUCGCUUCCUAAAGAGAGAAAAAGUUAGAGACAUGAACGUCGUCUUAAAACCGAUUCGUUUCUGGCAAUUUUCUCGGAACCGACAUAUCCCAAGUCGUCAACGUGGAAACACCCAAAUCACAGUCCAAGCGUCGUCUAUAAAUCGUCCCGAAUUAUCGAUCAUUCCAAACAUCAGAAGAGGAAACGUACACAACCCUUCAAAGUAUCGGUUCAACCGUUUUCUUUCGUAAAAAAAAAAAGGGAGAGUAGGUACGUAUACUAUACUUGUAUACUCCCAAACUUCAAAAAAACUUCUGCAAAUCGUCAAGAAUAGGCAAACGACAAUCUUAAUAUUCGUCUAAAACGCUAGAAACAUAUCCAGACGAUGUUGAACAUAAUCUCAAAAACUAUACAUCAUUUCUUAUCGCAAUCAUGCGUACGGAAAACUUGUACCAAUAUCAAACUGAAACUCGACGAUUAGCCAAAGUGAAGUGAUCUUUGGUGAGAUGAUCACGUCCCUGAAUGUUCUCCAAUGAUUGUGAUGUUAUUUCAUAAGCAGUGGAUUGAGUGAUACUUCUAAGAGUUGCGGAAUGACUCUUGGACUAUCAAGGGUUUGCUUGCAAGGUAAGGAUCAAGGAUCCGAAAUACACUUAGAACAAGCUUGAUCAAACAAGAUUCAGAGAGAAUUUUUAUUAGAAAAGAGUUUGAUGAUUUUAUUGAGAGUUUUGAUCAGAAUAUAAAGAGAAGAAGACUGUACAUGCACAGCUUCUUGGAAACACACAAAACAAUUAAAACAAAGACUAAGUUUAAAUUUGAAAAUAAGAAAAGGCUCCUGGUUUCUUCAUGCACGAAAUUAGGGGAAAUGGGCCUGGUUCAGGCUUAGUUUCAUCAAGAGGCUCAUGUAUAAGUGUUGUGUCCAAGCCUCAUUAAAAACCUUGUUUGGAAAACCCAUUGGGACAAAACCAAACUAAGGAAAAGAGUGCAAGUCACAACACCUCUCUUGAUGAUUGUCUUAGAUGGCUUGAAUCACAACCAGAGUGGUUGGAUAAGCACACUCUAGACUGCCAUGGAUAGUGUGAAGUAGUUGAUGAAGAGCUUGUCGAAAUCUUGCUUGCUUUGAUCUUGUCAUUGGACCAAUAGGUACUUCUAGGUCCUUCUCAUUUGUUUCUUCAGGUUCAAGCAGAUCCCUGGUUCUUUCUUCAACUUCCUUAAGCUCUGGUUCAAGCUGAUCCAUCUCUUCAGUUCCAUUGCUAGCCAAGAUCACAUCAUCCUCUCCCACUUGAGAAGGAUUUGACCUCAAAUCCGUUUCUUCUGCACAAUAAGGAACUAAAUCAGUAACAUUGAAGCUUGAACUAACGUUAUACUUACCUUGGAGAUCCAGUUGAUAGGCAUUGUUGUUGAUCUUCCUGAUGACUUUGAAAGGACCAUCCAAUCUAGGCAUAAGUUUAGAUUUUCUUUCAUUAGGAAAUCUGUCCUUCCUCAGGUGUAUCCAAACUAAGUCUCCUUCUUCAAAGAUCAUCUCCUUUCUUCCUUUGUUAGCAUACUCAGCAUACAACUUGGUCUUGUUUUCUAUAUUGAUCCGUGCCUUCUCAUGUAUCUGCUUAACAAGUUCAGCUUUCUUUUGUCCAUCCAAGCUAACUCUUUCACUCAAAGGUAAAGGCAUUAGAUCCAAAGGUGUUAAAGGAUUGAAACCAUAGACAAUUUCAAAUGGAGAGAACUUAGUUGCAGAAUGCUUAGCAUGAUUAUAAGCAAAUUCUACAUGUGGCAAACAUUCUUCCCAAGUUCUAAGGUUCUUUUUAAUCAAUGCACGCAACAAGGUAGACAAUGUUCUAUUGACAACUUCAGUUUGUCCAUCAGACUGCGGAUGACAGGUAGUAGAGAAACACAGUUUAGUUCCUAAUUUAGACCACAAGGUUUUCCAAAAAAAGCUAAGAAACUUAGUGUCUCUAUCAGAAACAAUUGUCCUAGGCAUUCCAUGAAGUCUAACAAUUUCCUUAAAGAACAGAUUAGCAACAUUCACAGCAUCAUCCGUCUUAUGACAUGGAAUAAAGUGAGCCAUUUUAGAGAACCUAUCAAUGACUACAAACACAGAAUCUCUUCCAGUUUUCGUUCUAGGUAACCCAACAACAAAAUCCAUUGAAAUGUCAUGCCAUGGAUGCAAAGGAAUGGGUAAAGGAGUAUACAGACCGUGGUUCUGGACUUUGGACUUAGCCUGUUUGCAAGUGACACACCUUUCGCAAGAUUUUUCUACAUCUCUCCUCAUAUGUGGCCAAUAGAAGUGCUCUUGCAUUACAUUCAGUGUUUUAGCCACGCCAAAGUGUCCUCCACGUCCACCUGCAUGAGCUUCCUUGACAAACAAAUCUCUCAAAGAGGAGUUAGGCACACAUAGUCUAUUUUCAAAGAAGAGAAAACCAUCACUCUUGAAGUAUUUACCACGACCAAACUUCUCACAAGAAGCAUAUAUUUCCUUAAAAUCAGAAUCAGUGGCAUAUAAAGUUUUGAUAUGUUCAAAUCCAAGUAGUUUGGUUUCAAGAGUGUUUAAGAGAACAUACCUUCGAGAUAGUGCAUCAGCAACUAUAUUUUCCUUACCUUUCUUGUACUUGAUCACAUAAGGAAAGGUUUCUAUGAAUUCAAUCCAUCUAGCAUGUCUCUUGUUCAGUUUUUGUUGUCCUUUGAGAUGUUUGAGAGACUCAUGAUCAGUGUGGAUGACGAACUCCUUUGGCCAGAGAUAGUGUUGCCAAGUUUGCAAAGCCCUCACAAGCGCAUAGAGCUCUUUGUCAUACGUUGGAUAGUUCAGAGUAGCCCCUCCAAGCUUUUCACUAAAGAAAGCUAUAGGUUUCUUCUCCUGCAUAAGCACAGUACCUACACCAACACCAGAUGUAUCACAUUCUAUUUCAAAUGUUUUAGAAAAAUCAGGGAGAGAAAGAACUGGUGAAUUGGUGAGUUUCUCUUUUAAGGCUUGGAAUGCUUCUUCUUGUGCUUGUUCCCACUUGAACCCCACGUUUUUCUUGAUUACUUCAGUCAGUGGUGCAGCCAAAGUACUAAAAUCUUUGACAAAUUUUCUGUAGAAACCGGCUAGACCAUGAAAGCUUCUCACUUCACCAACUGUCUUUGGGCUUGGCCAUUCUUUGAUUGCUUUAAUCUUUUCUUUAUCAACCUGGAUACCUUCUGCACUCACAACAAAACCUAAAAAGACAAGGUUAUCUGCUCCAAAAGUACAUUUCUUUAGAUUAGCAAACAAGGAUUCUUUUCUAAGUACUUCUAGAACCUUUCUAAGAUGCUCAAUAUGUUCAUCCAAGUUCUUACUGUAGAUCAGAAUGUCAUCAAAGUAAACCACAACGAAAUGACCUAUAAAUGAUCUAAGAACAUGGUUCAUUAGUCUCAUGAAAGUACUAGGUGCAUUCGUCAGCCGAAAUGGCAUCACUAACCAUUCAUAUAACCCUUGUUUUGUUUUAAAAGCGGUUUUCCACUCAUCACCCUCUUUCAUUCUAAUCUGGUGAUACCCACUUUCCAAAUCAACCUUAGAAAAGAUGCUAGAACCAUGCAAUUCAUCAAUCAUAUCAUCUAAUCUAGGGAUGGGGUGUCGAUACUUUACAGUGAUAUUGUUGAUGGCUCUGCAAUCGACACACAUUCUCCAACUACCAUCUUUCUUUGGUACAAGCAAGACUGGAACUGCACAUGGGCUCAUGCUUUCACGGAUAUGACCUUUCUCCAUAAGCUCAGUGACUUGUUGUUGUAGUUCCUUGGUCUCCACAGGGUUGGUUCUAUAGGCUGGCUUGUUUGGAAGUGAAGCUCCUGGAAUAAAAUCGAUUUGAUGCUCUAUUCCUCUGAUAGGUGGUAAUCCUUGUGGAGCUUCUUCUGGAAAAACAUCUUUGAAUUCCUGCAAAAGCAUCUGUAUUUUGCUAGGAAGAUCCUGCACUGGCUUUGUUAUGUUUAGGCAUUCUUUAAAAACAAAUAGCAAGUGAGGUAAAGAACUUCCCUUUGGUUGAAGCAACAGAUUGGCAGGUUGUUUUGUCUUUGGUUCUGAUGAAGCUUUAUUUUUCUUCAAAGCUAUCUGAUCAAGAUGGACUUCUUGCGGUGUUAAAGGAACUAAGACAGUCUUCUUUCCCUUGUACUCAAACGAGUAUCUGUUUGUGAACCCAUCAUGAAGAGUUCUUCUAUCGGAUUGCCAAGGCCUUCCAAGCAGUAUGUGUCCCGCAUCCAUUGGUAAGACAUCACACAAUAUCUCAUCCUCAUACUUCCCAAUAGACAAUGGUAUCUUGACUUGGUGUUUCACCUUCAGCUCUCCUUCAUCAUUAAGCCACUGUAACUUGUAAGUUGUUGGCCUUUUCAUGAUCUUCAGACCAAGUUUCUCAACCAUGGUUUCACUUGCAGCGUUGGUACAGCUUCCUCCAUCUAUAACCAAACUGCACACCUUGCCUUGAACCAUACAGCGAGUAUGAAACAGAUUCUCUCUUUGCUCAUCUCCAACAAUCUUGGCUUGCAGAUUCAGUGUUCUUCUUGCGACAAGUAACUCUCCACGAGCUGGCAUCUCCACUCUUUCUUCUUCAGACUCAGAUUGUUCCUCUUCCUCUGAUUCAAUCUCCCCAUUAUCUCUGAUGAGUAUUACCCUUUUGUUGGAGCAGCUACUGGCAUAGUGUCCAUAACCUUUACACUUGUAGCACUGUAUGUCUCUGGUUUUGGAUGCAGUGGCUACUUCCUUUCCUUUAAUACUUUGUUCCUCCCCUUUAGGCUUGGAGAAUGGUUUGGAUUCUCUGGUCUUUUCGUCCUUCUGGUAGUGUGGCUUGCUUGUUCCAUAGCUAGACUUGUAACUUCUUCUUUUCAACUGCUGUUCAAACAUAAUUGCCUUGUGCAGAAGCUCUUCCAUCUCAACAUAAUGAUGAACUUCAAGUCUGUCCAUGAUGUCUCGGUUUAGACCACCCAUGAAUCUGGCCAUUGUUGCUUCUCUGUCUUCUUGUAUAUCAGCUCUCAGCAUAAGGGUUUCCAUCUCCUUAUAAUAUUCUUCAACUGAUUUACUUCCCUGAGACAGUGUUCUGAGCUUGAAGUGCAGCUCUCUGUGGUAAUGGCUUGGUACAAAUCUCUUCCUCAUAAUCACCUUCAUCUGGUUCCAGGUUUCAACAGGAAAAUCUCCAGCCCUUCUUCUUGCUGUAACCAAGUUAUCCCACCAACUUAGCGCAUACUCUUUGAACUCAGUAGGAGCAAGUUUCAUUUUGUACUCUUGUGUGUAGUUUCUACAAUUGAACACAAGUUCAAUCUUCUUUUCCCACUCUAAAUACUCUUCAGGAUCAGCAGUGCCUUUAAACUCAGGAAUCUUCAGUUUCAAACCACCAAGAGGAUCAUUGGUUUGUGGCCUUGCUUCUUGAUUACGUCUCCUUCUCCUGGUGCCAUUGGAUAUGUUGUUAUGACUAUAAUAGCUUUCUGAAGCAGACUGAUUUGGACUCCUCCUAGAUCUCUCACGUUCUGAAUGGGAAACCUCAGUUCUGAAGUUUUCUAGUCUCUGAUCCAUCAAAGUAAUCAUCACAGUAUUCAUGCGUGCAGUCAAAGCAUCAAGUAGUAGUUGAUCCAUUCCAUUGUUCUGACUGCUUUCUUCUCCCAUGGUUCCUGUUGAAUUUCCAAACACAAAACCAGUAAAAGAGAUCACAGAAAUAUAAUAUAACAGAAAGUAAUAGGAUUGAAUCUAGAAUAAUCAGAUUUCUGAAAUUUUUUAUGAAGAACCCUAGUUCUUUUCUCUGUAAUUUCGAAAAUCUACUCAGAUUAUUUAGCAAUUUAAAAACUUUUUCUAGGUAGAUCUGACCCUAAUAAACACGUUUCUAACAAGAUCUAGGUUUUAGAACAGAUCUGAUAACAGAAUAUGAAAAGUCUAAAAGUUGCAGAUCUGGAAAAAAACACAACCUGAUGAUGGAGAUCUGCUCUGAUACCACUUGAAGUGAUCUUUGGUGAGAUGAUCACGUCCCUGAAUGUUCUCCAAUGAUUGUGAUGAUGAAAUAAGCAGUGGAUUGAGUGAUACUUCUAAGAGUUGCGGAAUGACUCUUGGACUAUCAAGGGUUUGCUUGCAAGGUAAGGAUCAAGGAUCCGAAAUACACUUAGAACAAGCUUGAUCAAACAAGAUUCAGAGAGAAUUUUUAUUAGAAAAGAGUUUGAUGAUUUUAUUGAGAGUUUUGAUCAGAAUAUAAAGAGAAGAAGACUGUACAUGCACAGCUUCUUGGAAACACACAAAACAAUUAAAACAAAGACUAAGUUUAAAUUUGAAAAUAAGAAAAGGCUCCUGGUUUCUUCAUGCACGAAAUUAGGGUAGGAAAUGGGCCUGGUUCAGGCUUAGUUUCAUCAAGAGGCUCAUGUAUAAGUGUUGUGUCCAAGCCUCAUUAAAAACCUUGUUUGGAAAACCCAUUGGGACAAAACCAAACUAAGGAAAAGAGUGCAAGUCACAACACCUCUCUUGAUGAUUGUCUUAGAUGGCUUGAAUCACAACCAGAGUGGUUGGAUAAGCACACUCUAGACUGCCAUGGAUAGUGUGAAGUAGUUGAUGAAGAGCUUGUCGAAAUCUUGCUUGCUUUGAUCUUGUCAUUGGACCAAUAGGUACUUCUAGGUCUUUCUCAUUUGUUUCUUCAGGUUCAAGCAGAUCCCUGGUUCUUUCUUCAACUUCCUUAAGCUCUGGUUCAAGCUGAUUCAUCUCUUCAGUUCCAUUGCUAGCCAAGAUCACAUCACAAAGUAUUGAAGCCUUUUACGGUUUCAGAAAGCCAGUUUUGUUCUAAAAAUUUCUACGAGAAAUCUUCAAUCACCAAAGCAUUUUUUUCAGUUUCCGUUGUACUAAGUAAGUCACGUAAAAGCAUCGAAAACAUUUGCAACGAAGAAAACUCGAGAAUAUAUGUAGCAUCGUGCACAUUAAAAGGAGCACUUUCCUCCCGAUGGUUAGCUAGAUCCACCUCUGGUUGACCAAUUCGUUCAAGAAACGAAUGUGUCAUGAGAAUCCUCUCGAAAAACCUAUGAAAAACGUUCCGCGACUAGAUCGUAUUGAAAUAAACUUCGGUAAUACUCCAUGAGUAACUCCAAGCAACUUUCACCUAAGAUCAAAAUCACAGCGGGAACGUUUCUCGUAAAACCCGCAGAAACAAUGCUACUUUGACAUAUGUGUACAUAUCACUGAUUUACGACCUUUGUAAAAUCGGUUAUAUGAUAUGAUAAAUUAUCGUAUAGCCCACAGUCGGAAAUCAUAUGAUAAAUUCUUCGUAACGAAACAAAGUCCUAACAACCAAACGGUUAACGAAAAAUCUAAACUUUUCGAAAAUUGAUCAAGUUCAAUACGCUCCACAAUUCACUUUAAGCCCGCAACGUUUUAACCAUAAUACGCGGCAUGCAAGGAAAAAUUCGUAACACAGCUUCUAGAGCUAUACGAAACAUCCUAAAAAAUGCACGAAAUACAUCUCGGAAGGCCAACACUUCACAAAGCACUAUGAAGGAAAACGCUUGUUCCCAUGGACAAAUUUACACGACACCUCAGUCAUAAUUCCUCGAUCGCAAAUAAAACUAUUAGCAUCCAAACAUGAACAACAAUUUUGGCUGCAAACAUUCAUAGCCAAACUAGAAUGUUUUUCAAACAAAUGGCUAAGACUAAACCCUUGCAACAUCGCAAAAUAUCUUCAAGCCCGCGAACAUUUUAAGCACGAAACGUGGCAUACAAAAGAAUAACAAAUCUUCAGCAUCGCGAGACGUCGCAGACGCCUGAAGAUUAGUUCUUCGACGAAAAUUUCCUUCCUCGAUAAAAACACCGUCAUGGAAGACCAAACAGUCGUACGCACUAACAUCUUCUCGAAAAAUAUUCUUCGCGAAGACUCGAAACGGUAUUUUUUACCAUUAUGUUUGUUGCUGAUCACAACAAACUCUCAACGUCCUAAACAGACAUAGCCAUCUCACGAAGAUGACUCUCUUACAUCCGACACAAGGAUAAUAGCGCUAUAAAAGAAAUCCGAAAUUUUGGUCCAGCACUUCCGGUCUCCGGAGAGAUGCUCGAUUCGUAUCAAACAAGUCGUAUAAGCCGAGAACCUAUCGCGGACUUUAAAUCGAUACGAAUCCGGAAGAAAUCGCAACAUGAAAAACGAUAGCCAGCCAGUCACCGCACAAUCCUUAAACCGAAAGUAAACCUAGUUCUUGCCCUAAACCCAGCGCACUGGUCUCUAACAUCUCUAGGAAUAGUAUCAAACACCCUGAUACGAGAUCCCAAAAUUUGUCUCUUUGCCAAUAUUCGAACGUCUUCAGAAAAUCCCGCAAGUUUACACACAGCGGAAAACUCUCAAAACAGAUUAUGGAUAUGGCAAUUCACACAGAGUUAGAUUACGAGACGACAACUCGUAGUCUUCCCUCUACACCCAUACAAAUGCCAGCGGCAGCAACACGCCUUAUAACCGCUACAUAAAAACUAGACCAUAAAGGUCCUACUGGAAAACUAGUCAUAAGAACCUUAACCCCAAGAUGAACUACGAAAGGCUUGAUCCCUUCAACAAGGGUACGUAGGCAGCCGUCAUAAGGGGCAGCCACAAUCUUAUCGCGUUUUCUACUCUUAGGAGAGCGAGAAGAUCACUUACCACAGACCUUUUCAACCAUUAAUUCCGCCUAACUCACCUAACUUGCCUAACUUGCCAAGCCACUCGCUAGAACCUCACGCUAGAAGCUCAUGAUUCUAACGACCUGGGGGGCUAACUGUUGGGGUCAAAAUCGGUCACGAUGGAAUCAAUGUCUGAAAGUCCGUAAAAAUCAGCAUAAACGUUUUUACGAAAAGUAAUCUUCGUAAAGAUAUCUUUACGAAGAGCCUUGCAGUAAAAUAUCGUCCAAAUCUCAAUCGAACCACUAAAUACCGAUUGUCCGAAGGCAACGAACAUGUAUCCAAAUCGGCCGCGGACAAACUCAAGUAUGGAAAUCAGACCGCGGACAAGCCAAGCUCGAUCGAUACGCGGCGACCAAGCAUGCACACAGCUCAGUCGCUACGUAGCGACCGAGCAUCCGUCCCGCUCGGUCGCUAUGUAGCGACCGAGCUCGAGCCAAGCUUGGUCGCUACGUAGCGACCGAGCGUCCGUCUCGCUCGGUCGCUACGUAGCGACCGAGCCCGAGCCAAACUCGGUCGCUACGUGGCGACCGAGCCCGAGCCAAACUCGGUCGCUACGUAGCGACCGAGCGUCCGUCCCGCUCGGUCGCUACGUAACGACCGAGCUCGAGCCAAGCUCGGUCGCUAAAUAGCGACCGAGCGUCUGUCUCGCUCGGUCGCAAAGUAGCGACCGAGCGUCCGUCCCGCUCGGUCGCUACGUAGCGACCGAGCCCGAGCCAAGCUUGGUCGCUACGUAGCGACCGAGCGUCCGUCCCGCUCGGUCACUACGUAGCGACCGAGCUCGAGCCAAGCUCUGAUUGGAAAGGGGGAGGGUCGAAUCUUAGCGACAAAGGGCUGAAUCUUAGCGACAAAGGGCUGAAUCUUAGUGGAUCGUGGCAGCAAGGCCACUCUGCCACUUACAAUACCCCGUCACGUAUUUAAGUCGUCUGCAAAGGAUUCUACCCGCCACUCAGUGGUAAUUAUAAUUCAAGGCGGUCCGAACGGCGCUUCCACCGAACGGACUUAGCCAACGACACGUGCCUUUGGGAGCCGAAGCUCCUACUGAGGGUCAACAAUCGGGCGGCGGGCGCAUGCGUCACUUCUAGCCCGGAUUCUGACUUAGAGGCGUUCAGUCAUAAUCCAGCGUACGGUAGCUUCGCGCCACUGGCUUUUCAACCAAGCGCGAUGACCAAUUGUGCGAAUCAACGGUUCCUCUCGUACUAGGUUGAAUUACUAUUGCGACGCGGGCAUCAGUAGGGUAAAACUAACCUGUC